GAGGACGAACGCUGGCGGCGUGCUUAACACAUGCAAGUCGAGCGGUAAGGCCCUUUCGGGGGUACACGAGCGGCGAACGGGUGAGUAACACGUGAGCAAUCUGCCCUUCACUUCGGGAUAAGCCUCGGAAACGGGGUCUAAUACCGGAUAUGACCGCGCUACGCAUGUGGUGUGGUGGAAAGUUCUGGCGGUGGAGGAUGAGCUCGCGGCCUAUCAGCUUGUUGGUGGGGUAAUGGCCUACCAAGGCUUCGACGGGUAGCCGGCCUGAGAGGGUGACCGGCCACACUGGGACUGAGACACGGCCCAGACUCCUACGGGAGGCAGCA
rnacentral:rRNA from 1 species